rnacentral:rRNA from 1 species
UACGUAGGGUGCGAGCGUUAAUCGGAAUUACUGGGCGUAAAGCGUGCGCAGGCGGUUCGUUGUGUCGGCGGUGAAAGCCCCGGGCUUAACCUGGGAAUGGCCGUUGAAACUGGCGAACUGGAGUGUGGCAGAGGGGGGUGGAAUUCCGCGUGUAGCAGUGAAAUGCGUAGAGAUGCGGAGGAACACCGAUGGCGAAGGCAGCCCCCUGGGCUGACACUGACGCCUCAGGCACGAAAGCGUGGGGAGCGAACAGG